CCUACGGGAGGCAGCAGUGAGGAAUAUUGGUCAAUGGACGAGAGUCUGAACCAGCCAAGUAGCGUGAAGGAUGACUGCCCUAUGGGUUGUAAACUUCUUUUAUAUGGGAAUAAAGUGUUCCACGUGUGGGAUUUUGUAUGUACCAUAUGAAUAAGGAUCGGCUAACUCCGUGCCAGCAGCCGCGGUAAUACGGAGGAUACGAGCGUUAUCCGGAUUUAUUGGGGUUAAAGGGAGCGUAAGUGGUUUGUUAAGUCAAUUGGGAAAGUUUUCGGCCCAAACGGAAAAUUGCAGUUGAAACUGGGGGUCUUGAGUACGGGAGAGGUAGACGGAAUGCGUGGUGUAGCGGUGAAAUGCUUAGAUAUCACGAAGAACUCCGAUUGCGAAGGCAGCUCACUGGA
rnacentral:rRNA from 1 species